rfam:Aphanomyces astaci strain APO3 cont1.3870, whole genome shotgun sequence.
CCGAGCAUAGCUCAAAUGGUAGAGCGUUUGACUGCAGUGGAAAUUAGUGCUGUCUUCAGUACGACUUCGGAAAUCAAAUGGCCACCGGUCCGAUUCAGGUUGCUCGGA